rnacentral:ncRNA from 1 species
AUCUUCGGGGUAGGGUGUAAGUCCCAACCGGCGGUAUAGUCCGCGAACCUUUGUAUAUGAUACAGAGGCCGAUCUGGUGAGAUUCCGGAACCGACAGUAUAGUCUGGAUGAGAGAAGAG